AGAGUUUGAUCAUGGCUCAGGACGAACGCUGGCGGCGUGCUUAACACAUGCAAGUCGAACGGAAAGGCCCCUUCGGGGGUACUCGAGUGGCGAACGGGUGAGUAACACGUGGGUGAUCUGCCCUGCACUUUGGGAUAAGCCUGGGAAACUGGGUCUAAUACCGAAUAGGACCGCAUGCUUCAUGGUGUGUGGUGGAAAGCUUUUGCGGUGUGGGAUGGGCCCGCGGCCUAUCAGCUUGUUGGUGGGGUAAUGGCCUACCAAGGCGACGACGGGUAGCCGGCCUGAGAGGGUGUCCGGCCACACUGGACUGAGAUACGGCCCAGACUCCUACGGGAGGCAGCAGUGGGGAAUAUUGCACAAUGGGCGAAAGCCUGAUGCAGCGACGCCGCGUGGGGGAUGACGGCCUUCGGGUUGUAAACCUCUUUCACCAUCGACGAAGGUCCGGGUUUUCUCGGGCUGACGGUAGGUGGAGAAGAAGCACCGGCCAACUACGUGCCAGCAGCCGCGGUAAUACGUAGGGUGCGAGCGUUGUCCGGAAUUACUGGGCGUAAAGAGCUCGUAGGUGGUUUGUCGCGUUGUUCGUGAAAUCUCACGGCUUAACUGUGAGCGUGCGGGCGAUACGGGCAGACUUGAGUACUGCAGGGGAGACUGGAAUUCCUGGUGUAGCGGUGGAAUGCGCAGAUAUCAGGAGGAACACCGGUGGCGAAGGCGGGUCUCUGGGCAGUAACUGACGCUGAGGAGCGAAAGCGUGGGGAGCGAACAGGAUUAGAUACCCUGGUAGUCCAA
rnacentral:rRNA from 1 species